GUAGGUGGCAAGCGUUGUCCGGAAUUAUUGGGCGUAAAGCGCGCGCAGGCGGUUCUUUAAGUCUGAUGUGAAAGCCCACGGGCUCAACCGUGGAGGGUCAUUGGAAACUGGAGAACUUGAGUACAGAAGAGGAAAGCGGAAUUCCACGUGUAGCGGUGAAAUGCGUUGAGAUGUGGAGGAACACCAGUGGCGAAGGCGGCUUUCUGGUCUGUAACUGACGCUGAGGCGCGAAAGCGUGGGGAGCAAACAGGAUUAGAUACCCUGGUAGUCCACGCCGUAAACGAUGAGUGCUAAGUGUUAGGGGGUUUCCGCCCCUUAGUGCUGCAGCUAACGCAUUAAGCACUCCGCCUGGGGAGUACGACCGCAAGGUUG
rnacentral:rRNA from 1 species